CAACACAAGUACUUGUGUUAAAACUAAUCUACACAAGUUAUGUGUUGUUUUGCAUUGCAUUAACACAAACUUGUGUCGAUUUAUAAAAUCUUGUGUGUUUUUUCAUAUCAUUAACACAAGUAAUGUGUACCUUCCACGAUUUGUUUUCUUUUUAAGAAAAAAACUCCAUACAAAGUCUGAAUUCGGGAGUCGUCAAGUUUUAAGAAAAGUAAUAAAGGGCUUAAUUCACAUCUCGAAAAUCACUGGAAGGGAGUGAGUACCAAUUAAUCAGACAAUUGCCAGACAGACUUGAAUGUUAAUUGGUGUUAAGUUGUCUGUAUAGUUAAAAUGUCUGUCUUUUUUUAUUGACCCAAUAAACUGAUAGACCAAAUGAAUAUAUAGUGUACAUGUGAUUUUCAGCACCCUGGUGUUUUCGAAAAUUGAUUCAAUGUGCAAUGAACAAAAAAAAUGAGUAAAACUCUUAAUAAUGUAAUUGGUUGAUGUAAUCGAAAUUGGACAGUAUUGGUUAACUGAAAAGUAACCAAUCAAAUUUAAUUGAUCAUCCACGUGUAUCUCAUAAUCGACUUAUUGAUAUAAUGGUUCUCCAAGUUAUCUAUACUUUUUGUCUGCGAUAUCACUUCGGUGGAAGCGGGCGUAAAAUACAACUAACUAAGAAGAAGUAUCUAUACUUUAGUCAUUGCGACAAAUUCUUUCUUUGAUAUUAUAUCAGCGACAUUCAGUUAGAUGUAGUGACGUUAGCAUCAACAGAGUGCUUUAGCCGUGAUAUUUUUUAAAAAAAAAUUAUAAUGGUCACAUAGAAUACCAGACCGCAGGUUUGUAAAUUUUUACAAAAAAUAAAACCGUGUAUUUAAUUUAGCAUGUAUAUAUUGCUUCUAUGUAUAUAAUAAUUCGUUUCGUUUAAAACAGUCAGAUUUAGAACCACUGCCACUGACUGCACCGGAAUUCUAUUUAUAUAAUGGCGCCACAAAGAAAUUUUUUUUGAUGUGUUCUAAAAGUGUUCCGCUAAUUCAGCAAUCUAAUGAAUCUGUCUUAAUUUUUCUGAAAUCGUGCUUAAUUAUUAUUAGCUAAUCGGCGCUACACCGUUGUUCAAAUACUUAUAAUUGCAAGAAACCCCCGACUAGGACCAGCAGGUAAGAAUCUGUCUUGAUUUUAUAGUAAUGCCCGGUUGCAAUUAUUGGCCGCCAUCUUUGAUUUUUAUAGACGUUCGGGCCAAAAAAAAGGAGAAAUGUAUAUCCAGACAUGGACUAUAGCUAGAUACUAACUUUUGUGUUAGUUGUUUAUUUGAAAUGUAAUCUUAAUAUUUCUGUAAAAGAAAAAAACAACAACAAACAAAUCAGCCUUUUUUUUAUAUCAAUGUCAUCAAUGUGUAGGCCUAAUAAUUAGACUUUCAAUGAUUCAGAAGUUUCUCUACAGUUUCGUUAUUUUUUUUCCAGUCAUUGAUGUUAGCAUAUGUACUACACAAAGAAAAACAGUUUCCAUAUUAGAUGCCAUAGCAAAUCAAAGAUCAUAUAAUAAAAUAAGUCAAAAAACCCAAAUAUGGGAAAAAAAAGAGCUGAAGAAAUGGUGAUUUGAGCACCUAUGAUUUCUCAUAGUUGUUUUUUGAGGAAAGAUCAAGACAGUUGAAAAUGGCUAUUCAUAUUAUGGAAACUUUUUCUCACAGAGCUUGAUAAUCAGGUAAAAUGCUGGAACACCCUUGAAAGAGUAUUUGGUGUAUGAUAACAACAAGAGAACCCAAGCAUCAAUUUAUUUUAUACUUCUGGGAAAGAAUGCAUUUGACCCAAUUUUUAAAUAUUUAUUUUUUGUUAUUAAUGUUAAAUUUUCUUCCAAAACACAAUUAGAUUUUAAUUCUCUUCAAAUAUGUAUGUAUAAUAUAGCAAGUAAACUGACAUAUAAAUCACUUAGAAUUUGGUCGGAAAUCAUAAAGUAUUUAAUAGGCAUUACUAGAAACCAAAUGUAGAUCAAAUACACCCAGAAUUACAAAAAACCUUGACCUACAUUAAGGUGACUUUCCCUUGCUUAUGAAAUGAAAUACAUUUUAAUAUCCUGCUUUUCUGUGUUCUUAGAGUGAUUCUACCCUACCCUUAUAUCAAAUAUUUCAACUGUCAAGGGUUCUUUAAAGGGUACCCAGGGGGGCCGAAUGGUUAACACGCACACAUUUGAUCAGAAGGUCUGUCAUUGAUUCAAAUAAUUCAAUUUUCAAGGGUUCUUCAAAGUGUACGCAAUUGGGUUGGUUUCAAUUCUGGGGGGUGGGGGUGGAUGGCCGAAUGGUUAGCACGUGCAUGCUGUAUCAUACGGCCUCCUGUCAUUGAGUCAACUGGCAUGGUUUCGAAUCCCCGGUUGUAGACAAGGAGUAGGGUCGCCUGUCCAAUCUUGUGGGUUUUCUCCGGGACCUCCGGUUUCCUCCCACUGCUAAAGACCCCUACGCGCUAGCGAAUUAUUGAAAUAAAAUUAAACCAUAUGUUAAUCCCAAAAUGAUCUAGUUUGUGUCGAGUAGAUGUUAAACCCCAUUUCUCUCUGUCUCUCUCUCUUUUGAUUCUGGGCUUGUACCCAAUUAUCCCUUGCCAUAUCCAACACUGAAAAGUGGGAACUAUGCCGGAAAAUCCAGUUGAAAUUUCGCGGCCAACGCCUUAUGCUCACUGAACCACUGUGGCUUAUGACUUGUGAUUGUAUAUAAAUCUUUUGUACAUAUGAUAUUUUUUUAUUUCAAUCCUGUAAUCUUGAUGCUUUGCUUCUUUUAUUUAUAAAAUAUUCAUUUUGUUUGGGGGUUUUUUAAUGAGGAAAAGGCUCUACAUCAUUUUAUUACUCCUGCAAAAUAGAGCAAUUUUCUUUUGUUAGUUUUCUGUGUAUGCUAGUUAUUUCUAGAUGCCUCACAAAUCACUUGUAGUGUGAUUUUGUAGCAUUUUUCAGUUUUUGAAAUUGUUUCAAUUUAGUGCAUAAUUAAUCUUAUUAGUGCUUAGUUUGGAUGUUAUUAAAUUUAGAUAUAUUUGAAUUAUAUAUUUUGGGGUAUGGGGUAGGGAUACUGUGUACAUAUCUUUAUAUUCUCAGUUCUUGUUUUGGGGUAAAGAACAAUUUAAAUAGCUAUUUUAUAUUUUGUGAUGGGUAAAGUGUGUGGGGCAAAAAACAAUUUAAAUAGCUAUUUUAUAUUUUGUGAUGGGUAAA